GAUGAACGCUAGCGGGAGGCUUAACACAUGCAAGUCGAGGGGCAGCAUAGGGUAGCAAUACUCUGAUGGCGACCGGCAAACGGGUGAGUAACGCGUAUGCAACCUACCCUGUACAGGGGGAUAAACCCGGAGAAAUUCGGACUAAUAUCCCGUAAUAAUAUCCGGAGGCAUCUUUGGAUAUUUAAACGUUUCGACGGUACGGGAUGGGCAUGCGUAACAUUAGCUGGUUGGUAAGGUAACGGCUUACCAAGGCUAUGAUGUUUAGGGGUCCUGAGAGGGUGGUCCCCCACACUGGUACUGAGACACGGACCAGACUCCUACGGGAGGCAGCAGUGAGGAAUAUUGGUCAAUGGGCGCAAGCCUGAACCAGCCAUCCCGCGUGCAGGAAGACGGCCCUAUGGGUUGUAAACUGCUUUUCCAGGGAGAGAAACUUACGCACGUGUUGCGUGACUGACGGUACCCUGGGAAUAAGCAUCGGCUAACUCCGUG
rnacentral:rRNA from 1 species